GAUUGAAAUACGACUGGAAUAGCGAAAGCGCGUGAAUUCUGAUGCCGACUAUAAUAUUUUGAACAAAACAAUUGAAACAAGCGUUUAUUAAAUUAAUAAGGAUGAUAAUAGCAACAAGAUAUCGAAUAGAUCGAGGCAAAUAAAUUUGUAAGAAAUCGGACUUCAGGAAAUACAUUUAGAAGUGUUAUGUUUACGAAAAUCAUGUUUAGAAAAAGUUAUCGCGAUAUAAAGUGAACCAGUCUAGGGCUCAUUCGUCUUUAAGGCAGGGAAAAGGAAAACAGAAAUUAUAAGCAAUGACUAGGGCCUUACACAGGGAUGCAGCACCCUGUCACGCAAAGGACCAACCCUGGCCCUAUUACCUACACCAUAGUCUUGUUUUUAUCUCAUCCGAUCAUUAUAAUGGAAGUUGUAUUUGAAAUUCAAUAAAUACUAUGAAACAAUA